UGAGAUAUAGCAUAAAAUAAUGCAUUUCGUUUACACUGAAUUAUGCCUACAUACAGGCUGUCUUAA
rnacentral:tRNA from 1 species